rnacentral:lncRNA from 1 species
UUUGCUUCAUGAUUUUUCUUCAGUGUUAUAUGCUCCUGCAUAGAGAUAUGGCAAAACCUUUUCUGUCUGAUGAACUUCUCAGCUGAAUGUCCUUCAAUAUUUCAAAAUUCUAACCACCUUUGCUGGAGAAAUAGUGAGGGAAUAGUGUGGCCAGGUCAAAACCUUUGAUGGCUGCAGCAGGAAUGGGAAUCUGAAGGACCUGAUAUCGGUGGUGAGAGGUGAAGCAGACUUCUGAUCUCGCUUUGACUCAGCCAAAAUAUUUCCCUGGUCUUCAGCAAUCACCUCCUGCAGUCAGAGAACAGAAAAACACAUCUGAGAAUCACUACAAAAACAGUAAAAUAAUUUGCUAAUGUAAAAUCAUUUCUGCCAGCAGAGAGACUUGAACUAGGACAACUUUGAUCUUAGAAUAAAUUAUGUCUCAGAUUGCUUAGAUCUUUUGCA